rnacentral:rRNA from 1 species
GAUGAACGCUGGCGGCGUGCCUAAUACAUGCAAGUCGAGCGAACAGACGAGGAGCUUGCUCCUCUAACGUUAGCGGCGGACGGGUGAGUAACACGUGGAUAACCUACCUAUAAGACUGGGAUAACUUCGGGAAACCGGAGCUAAUACCGGAUAAUAUAUUGAACCGCAUGGUUCAAUAGUGAAAGACGGUUUUGCUGUCACUUAUAGAUGGAUCCGCGCCGCAUUAGCUAGUUGGUAAGGUAACGGCUUACCAAGGCAACGAUGCGUAGCCGACCUGAGAGGGUGAUCGGCCACACUGGAACUGAGACACGGUCCAGCCUCCUACGGGAGGCAGCAGUAGGGAAUCUUCCGCAAAGGGCGAAAGCCUGACGGAGCAACGCCGCGUGAGUGAUGAAGGUCUUCGGAUCGUAAAACUCUUUUAUUAGGGAAGAACAAAUGUGUAAGUAACUAUGCACGUCUUGACGGUACCUAAUCAGAAAGCCACGGCUAACUACGUG